rnacentral:rRNA from 1 species
GACGAACGCUGGCGGCGUGCUUAACACAUGCAAGUCGAACGGAAAGGCCCUGCUUUUGUGGGGUGCUCGAGUGCGAACGGGUGAGUAACACGUGAGUAACCUGCCCUUGACUUUGGGAUAACUUCAGGAAACUGGGGCUAAUACCGGAUAGGAGCUCCUGCUGCAUGGUGGGGGUUGGAAAGUUUCGGCGGUUGGGGAUGGACUCGCGGCUUAUCAGCUUGUUGGUGGGGUAGUGGCUUACCAAGGCUUUGACGGGUAGCCGGCCUGAGAGGGUGACCGGCCACAUUGGGACUGAGAUACGGCCCAGACUCCUACGGGAGGCAGCAGUGGGGAAUAUUGCACAAUGGGCGGAAGCCUGAUGCAGCAACGCCGCGUGCGGGAUGACGGCCUUCGGGUUGUAAACCGCUUUCACCUGUGACGAAGCGUGAGUGACGGUAAUGGGUAAAGAAGCACCGGCUAACUACGUG